GUUUUCUCCAGACUCCCCUCUGCAAACUACAGAUAUUGAGAACCUGAGUUUGUAUUGAUGGAGCUGCUGGUGGAGCUGACAGAGUUGAAGAGCUGAAGUCAGCAGGGCUGUCAUUUAGAAAGCUUGAUACACACAAAAUGGACCUGAAAUGUGCGUACGCCACUUUCCAUCAAAAGUU